UUUCAGUGUAGCAAUAUAUUGAAGUUGGAGUAGCGCAAGGGUGCGUAACACGUGGGUAAUUUGCCCUGAAGUUGGGGAUAACUCGCUGAAAGGCGAGCUAAUACCGGAUGUGAAGUUUGGGUGGCAUCACCUGACCUUUAAAGCUGGGGAUCGUAAGACCUGGCGCUUUAGGAUAAGCCCGCGGCCUAUCAGCUAGUUGGUGAGGUAACGGCUCACCAAGGCUAAGACGGGUAGCUGGUCUGAGAGGACGACCAGCCACACUGGAACUGAGACACGGUCCAGACACCUACGGGUGGCAGCAGUCGAGAAUUUUUCUCAAUGGGCGCAAGCCUGAAGGAGCGACGCCGCGUGGGGGAUGAAGGGUUUCGAUCCGUAAACCCCUGUCAUUUGUGAACAAUGGUUAUCGUUUAAGAGAUGAUGACUUGAUAGUAAUGAAAGAGGAAGGGACGGCUAACUCUGUGCCAGCAGCCGCGGUAAUACAGAGGUCCCGAGCGUUGUUCGGAUUCACUGGGCGUAAAGGGUGCGUAGGUGGCUUGAAAAGUUUGAUGUGAAAGCUCAGGGCUUAACCCUGAAAUGGCAUUGAAUACUGUCGAGCUGGAGGUUUGGAGGGGGGACUGGAAUUCUUGGUGUAGCAGUGAAAUGCGUAGAUAUCAAGAGGAACACCAGUGGCGAAGGCGAGUCCCUGGACAACACCUGACACUGAGGCACGAAAGCUAGGGGAGCAAACAGGAUUAGAUACCCUGGUAGUCCUAGCCCUAAACGGUGCACGUUUGCUGUAAAAGGAAUCGACCCCUUUUGUGGCGAAGCUAACGCGAU
rnacentral:rRNA from 1 species